rnacentral:misc_RNA from 1 species
GAGCCGUCGGUUGGCGUCGCUCUCGCGCACGUAACCGGUCGCCCGGAACUCGUUUUCGAGCAGCCAGGCCUCGACGUCGAAACCGUGCGGAUUGACCGUGCCGUGCGGGCGCUUGAGGCGCACGGUGAGACUCCAACGCUCGCCGCCGUGCAACUCCGGGACAUCCUGGCCCGCGCGCUCGCCGCGCCACGACGCGUACCAGCCCAGCGAGAGUCGCGACGGCACAAUCGCCGCCGGAGUCAGCACCCGCUCGACCGCCAGCGCGAACCGCGUGCCGCGCUCCCUGGGCUGGGGCAGCUCGUCGAUCACGCCGACGAUCUCGAUGUCGCGUCCUUCCCACGCGCGAGGCAGCUCAUCGGCGAGCCUGGCCUCCGCGCGCCAUGCC